rnacentral:rRNA from 1 species
UUUUUGGAGAGUUUGAUCCUGGCUCAGGACGAACGCUGGCGGCGUGCCUAAUACAUGCAAGUCGAGCGGAUCGAAUAGGAGCUUGCUUCUAUUCGGUUA